rnacentral:rRNA from 1 species
AUUGAACGCUGGCGGCAGGCCUAACACAUGCAAGUCGAGCGAGCGGCGGACGGGUGAGUAAUAUCUGGGAAACUGCCUGAUGGAGGUGGAUAACUAAUGGAAACGGUAGCUAAUACCGCAUACCAUCAGAUGUGCCCAGAUGGGAUUAGCUAGUAGGUGGGGUAACGGCCAAACUAGGCGACGAUCCCUAACUGGGCUGAGAGGAUGACCAGCCAAACUGGAACUGAGACACGGUCCAGACUCCUACGGGAGGCAGCAGUGGGGAAUAUUGCACAAUGGGCGAAAGCCUGAUCCAGCCAUGCCGCGUGUGUGAAGAAGGCCUUCGGGUUGUAAAGCACUUUAAGCGGGGAGGCGUUACCCGCAGAAGAAGCACCGGCUAACUCCGUGCCAGCAGCCGCGGUAAUUC